rnacentral:rRNA from 1 species
GGUCCUGCCUGCCCAGUGACACAAGUUAAACGGCCGCGGUAUCUUGACCGUGCGAAGGUAGCAUAAUCAUUUGUCUCCUAAAUAGAGACUGGUAUGAAUGGCAAGACGGAACUUAUCUGUCUCCUUUUCUUCCAUCCUAAUUUCACUUCCCCGUGAAGAGGCGGGUUAAUAAUCGUUAGACGAGAAGACCCUAUCGAGCUUAAGUAAAACUUUAAUUUCUUAGACACUUUUGUUACUUUUCUAAUUUUUAAAACUAAAAAAGCAAAAGAAAGAUAAUUGAACUAAACUUUGGUUGGGGCAACCGCGGAGAAGAAUAAUCCUCCGCUUACAUUAAUAAAACAAAGGCACAACAAGCCUAAUAUUGAUUCAUCAAGUAUAAAUGAUCCACUAAGGUGAUCAAAGGAAAAAGUUACCGUAGGGAUAACAGCGUUAUCUUUUCUGAGAGUUCAUAUUGACGAAAAGGUUUGCGACCUCGAUGUUGGAUCGGGACAUCCAGGGGGUGCAGAAGCUUCCAAGGGUUGGUCUGUUCGACCAUUAAAGUCCU